GAUGAACGCUGGCGGCGUGCCUAACACAUGCAAGUCGAACGAAGCAAUAAAGACGGAGAUUCGUCAAAGCCUUUAUUGACUUAGUGGCGGACGGGUGAGUAACGCGUGAGCAACCUGCCUUUCAGAGGGGGACAACAGCUGGAAACGGCUGCUAAUACCGCAUAAUGUACAGAGGGGGCAUCCCUUUUGUAUCAAAGGAGAAAUCCGCUGAAAGAUGGGCUCACGUCUGAUUAGCUAGUUGGUGAGAUAACAGCCCACCAAGGCGACGAUCAGUAGCCGACCUGAGAGGGUGAUCGGCCACAUUGGGACUGAGACACGGCCCAA
rnacentral:rRNA from 1 species